AUUGAACGCUGGCGGCAUGCCUUACACAUGCAAGUCGAACGGCAGCACGGUUGCUUGUACCUGGUGGAGAGUGGCGCUCGGGUGAGUCAUCCAUCGGAUCUUGUCCUGUCGUCGGGGAUAGCCCGGCGAAAGCCGGCUUAUUCCCGCUAACGACCUACGGAUGAAAGCGGGGGACCUUCGUGCCUCGCGCUAUAGGGUUGGCGGGUGGCUGCUUCGCUAGUUGGGGGGGUAAAGGCCUACCAAGGCGGCGAUCUGUAGCUGGUCCGAGGGGACGACCAGCCACACUGGGGCUGGGACACGGCCCAGGGACCGACAGGAGGCAGCGGUGGGGAAGUUUGGACAAUGGGGGGAAGCCUGAUCCAGCAGUGCCGCGUGGAUGAAGAAAGGCUUCGGGGUGGAAAGCAGUUUUGGCCGGAAAGAAAUCCUUGGCCCUAAAACGGGCGGGGGAUGACGGUACCGGGAUAAGAAGCACCGGCUAACUACGUG
rnacentral:rRNA from 1 species